UACGGGGGGGGCAAGCGUUGUUCGGAAUUACUGGGCGUAAAGGGCGCGUAGGCGGUCUGCUAAGCGUGCGGUGAAAGCCCGGGGCUCAACCCCGGGUCGGCCGUGCGAACUGGUGGACUGGAGCUUGUCAGAGGCAGGCGGAAUUCCGGGUGUAGCGGUGGAAUGCGUAGAGAUCCGGAAGAACACCGGUGGCGAAGGCGGCCUGCUGGGACAGUGCUGACGCUGAAGCGCGACAGCGUGGGGAGCAAACAGG
rnacentral:rRNA from 1 species